GGGGCGCGGUGGGGGCCUGGCGAGGGCGGGGUCUGGGGCCGGUCGCGCGCCGGGGUGCCCCUCCCCGCCCCUGCCCCCGCGCAGCGCGCGGGCUGCGCGCCUCCUUGUCAAUGGAAGCGCGGGAUGGGCUGCCCGCGCAGUCAUCAGGUUGCUGGAAUGAUUAAUGCAGGUCUAUCAGAUACAGGGGAAAAAAAUUCAGCUACCCAGAUUCUGCUAUCCCUACAAGACUGAAGACAGACUGCAAGAGUAAAGAGGUGAUGCUGGUGCAGUUUGAGAAAUACAUCACUGGACUGUAAACUUUGAGGCCAACAGCUACUGGAUGUGUGCUCAGGAUAUGUGCUCUGCUCCAUGGUCACCACAGCCCAAGACAGCAAACCAAACUGGGAGAGCAGGUGUCCAGCCUCUUCUCACUUCACACCUAAUGUCCAUUGGCAAAGCAAGUCACAUGGCCAACCCCCAAAUCAGGAGGUGGGAAGUUCACUCCAUGCACCAUGAACCUUUGGCAAAGGUACACAUAUAUAAUACUCCUGGAGGAGAGUGAAGAAUUGGGACCAGUAAUUCACCCUACCACAGUUGGGGAAGACAAAAAUAACCCAGAGAAUAUGAAAAGGUGCAUGCAUGAGUGUGUGGUCAGUUCACCUCUAACUGCUUCUUUGCUGAGAGUCUUAAAUCUGCCCCAUGGCAUUGGCAUCACUACCAACUCAGGCUGAAGGACACCCAGGUCAAGGAUGGGGUGAUGGGACACCUCAAGCCUCCCAUAUUGGAGACAGCACUAAGAUGGCUCAGUAGCUUCCAUUAACUGGCUCUUUUGGUUUUUCCAACCUGAUGUCAUUUUAUCAGCCUGAGCCUCAGGCUGUCGAGACCAUCCCACUGUGUCUUCAAACCUCUGGCAGCCCUUACAUCACUAUGUGGAGCCUGGAAAUGAAGCCAACAUGAAAUGCAGAGCUAAGCAGGUAUAAAGAACUGAGUUAUGAUCUAUCAUUGACGCCCCUGGAUAUAUAUAGCCAUGCAUGAAGCCAGAAUUUCUC